rnacentral:rRNA from 1 species
GCAUAUCAAUAAGCGAAGGAAAAGAAAAUAACAAUGAUUCCCCUAGUAACUGCGAGUGAAGAGGGACAAGCUCAAAUUUUAAAUCUAUCGGGUUUUACCUGAUCGAGUUGUAAUUUGAAGAUGGCGUUUUCUGUGUUUCUGAUCAGUCCAAGUCCUUUGGGAUAAGGCAUCAUGGAGGGUGAGAAUCCCGUUCGGUUGAUCAGAUUCGCUUUACGAUACGUUAUCAAAGAGUCAAGUUGUUUGGGAUUGCAGCUUAAAAUGGGAGGUAAAUUUCUCCUAAGGCUAAAUAACGGCGAGAGACCGAUAGCGAACAAGUACCGUGAGGGAAAGAUGAAAAGAACUUUGAAAAGAGAGUUAAACAGUACGUGAAAUUGUUGAAAGGGAAACGAUUGAAGCCAGUCGUACCUUCGGGUAAUCAGCCUUUUGGGUGUGAUUUUGUGGAGCGUGAAGAGUUAAACGCCUUCAUGCCUGCAUAUUCGUGCACUUGGGGGGUACUUGCCCGUAGGGUUGGUUAACAUCAAUUUUGGGGGUCAUAAAAGGACGGGAGGAAGGUAGCUUGGAUCUUGUAUGGAAGUGUUAUAGCCUUCGGUAGAUGUGAUGAUCGAGAUUGAGGAUGGCAACGGAUACCCUUCGGGGCUACCUGUCUGGUCUCUGAUGG